AAAAAUCACUGACAAAGGAGACGGCCACGUUAUGUUUCUGAAGUUAUCUUAAAAUAUUUAGGGAAAGAUUAAAAAACGCUAGAUCCUGGCCAACUCCACUGGAUUCGAAAAAUAUGGUUCUGAUGUUUCUAAGUUUACAAAAAUAACGAUUACUGCACGCACCAGAGCCGACGAAAAGCGUGGGUACUACAAGUAGUACUACCCAUUUAAAAAUUUUGAAGAAAAUGACCCACCUGGAAUCGAUACGUUUUGGCGACUCUGGCACGCACAAAUUAUUCAAAUUAAUAUCUCGAAAAGGGAUUUUACAGGAGAAAAAAUGUGUUUAGAGACAUAUAUUGUAUUUCUGUUAUACAUCUUAUUUAAUUAAAAGCUCACACUUAUAGUUCGUG